ensembl:lncRNA
GUGAAAUUUCAGUUGUGCAUGAUUUGUCAGUCAUCUUAUAGGUUUACCACUUCACCCCUUGUGCCCACCCCUUACCCCUCUUCCCUCUGGUAACCACUAAACAGUUCUCUUGUCCAUGUGUUUGUUUAUCUUCCACAUGAGUGAAAUCAUACAGUGUUUGUCUUUCUCUGUCUGGCUUAUCUCGCUUAACAUAAUACCCUCAAGGUCCAUCCAUGUGGUGGCAAAUGGGACAACUUUGUCUUUUUUUAUGGCUAUAGAAAUGUUUUUUUAAUCAGUAAAUAUGCCUAUCCUUUCCUUCUGAGCGUUCUGGAUAAGUUAAUAUUUUUUCUAAAUUACCUUCUGGUGUAUUUAUAGUUUUACUUUCUACAUUCCAACCUUCAAACUGUCUGAAAGUUACUCUUCACAUGAUGGGAGGAAGGGUCCAGCUGUGCUUGCCAUGUCCACACUCUGUGCCCGUUGCUAUUCCUGAAUGUUUUAGACAUCAUAGUUCGUCUAAUCCUCCCUGCAGCCCUGGGAGGAGUCAGCGUUCUGACCUCCAUUUCAUAGAUGGGGAAACUGAGGCUUAGGGAAUGUAGGUGAUUUGCUAAGGUCACGGGAAGUGGAGGAAAUAUACGUCUACCUGCUGUUUUGACUUCUUCUAUAGGAAAAAUCCCAUUCCGGGGGCCGGCCCCAAGGCUGAGUGGUUAAGUCCACACACUCCGCUUCGGUGGCCCAGGGUUCAAAUCCUGGGCGCGGAUGUGGCACCGCUCAUGGAGCCACACUGAGGGGGCGUCCCACAUGCCACAACUAGAAGGACCCACAACUAAUAUAUACAACUAUGUACUGGAGGGAUGUGGGGAGAAAAAAGCAGGGAAAAAAAGAAGAUUGGCAACAGUUGUUAGCUUAGAGGCCAAUCUUUAAAAAAAAAAAAAAUCCCAUUCUGGCUUUUUAUACAUUUUUCUAUUGGGUUGUGUGAUUUUUAAUCAUUACUGAUUUGUAGAAGUUCUUUAUAUAUUUUGGAGAUGAGCUAUUUUUAGUUACAUGUAUCACAGAUAUCUCCUCCCACUCUGUGGCCUGACUUUUUACUCUCUUAAUGGUGUAUUUAGAUUAAUAGAUUUCUUAAUUUAAAAAUAAUUAUAUGUUAAUAUGUACUAAGAAAUAUAUUAAUGUGUUCCUUUAUGAUUAGUGGGGUUUUUUGACCUGCUUAAAUUAGCCUUACUUUCUCACUUUUGCAUUUUUAAAAGUAUUAUUGACUUUAUAAUUAAAACAUGAAACGCCGGUAGCAGCUGACCCCGUGGGCCUCACAGUGCUUGUCUCAGCAUGCACAGUUCCUUGUAUAAAAAUGUCAAGUCCCCCAGUUCUCCAGGCCUGGCACCUCUGGCCCAGCUUGGCCCAGGAAAGAGCCACCUGCCAGGCACCCGCAUAAGAAGAGCCUCUGCACAGUUUGGGGGUGAUGGGGAAGGUGUGGGAGACCAGUUCUAACCAUAAAGCCAUUGAGAAGAAAUUUCUAAAGUUGGAGGCUGAAAAUACUCACAGGAAAGAAAUCUCUGUUCAGGGAACCAGAAGGGUGUACAAAGGGCCCUUCACAAAAGCAGUCCCUAACAGCCAAUGUGCACCUGGGCCCCACAGGUGGCAGCCAGUGCCCUGUGAGGUCUCGGCAAUUCAGAAGGAAGCAAAGGCCCUCUGAGACCCUGCGCUUCACAGACAAGGUCUGUCUCCUGGUGACCUUUAGGUUGAAGGGUCCAGAGGACGCUGCCCUUCCAUUGCUUCUUGGAUGAGGCCCCUUCAUCGAUUCUUCUCCCUUCCAGCCUCGAGGUAACAAAGUGCUGGCAGACUCCUGGUUUCACCUGCAUCAAAUGACUGCAGCCCUCCCCACGUGGCACCCAGACCCUCCCCUCUCCUCUCCAUACCUGGCCACUUGCUGACCCAUUAGUCUCGCCUCCCAUCUUGACCCCAGUAAUUGACUGAUGAAGUGCCUGAGCAAGGAUGUGCCCACGCCAUGGGUCCCUCUCCCAGUAGACAGGCCCACCCCACCAGGGAUGCUGCUCCAUCAUGGUGCCCACUCCCCAGAUCCUGUCCCACCUCACACUCCACCAUGCCCCCAGAUCCUGCCUUGCACAUGUGACUGGCCAUUGGCAGGUUCCUGACAUACCAACGGGAUCUCCCUGCCCACCCCAGAGGCCCCCAAGGAUGGAGGUGGCAUCCAAUUUGCUGACCACAGCCUCUGGACUUUAUUCCAGCCCCAGGCCUUGGCCAGGGGUAAGCAGCUGGCUGGAGAGCCACGCCCAGACUCCAUGCUGGAAGGAAGGGGAAGCUAGGGAUGGGGUUGGGCAAGGCUGCCAACCAGGUCAGCUGUAGCUGCCAGGGUCCGUGUUGUCUGGCAGAAAGUAUCGCUGCAGGGUGGGCUGCAGGAGCAGUGGGGGCAGCGGACGGGCAGGUCUGGGCCAGCCUGGGGGGAAAGGCUGCAGUUCCACCCGUGGAAGUGGCAGCUUCAGCAUCCGGAUGGGGCCGUCAAGGGUGCGGCCUGCCCAGAGCCUGGAAACCAUCUGGCCUGGGGGCCAGCAUGACAGUGAGGGCUUGGUGUGGGGUUGAUAUCAGUGGGACCUGGGCUGGGGUAGAGGUCAGCUCCAAUUCUACCCCUGUCCCACUCACCCUUCAGUCUCAUUGGAGACCCCUGGACCUUGCCCUCCUGAAGCCGGAAGAAGGGGUAGUGCCUGGUGGGUAAGAAGGUGGGUUUGGCUCAGCCUGCCUCUCAGCCGCCCCAUGUAGGCCCGGCCCCAGCCUGUGCCUGGAGCCUUGAGGCCCACUCACCGCUGAUCCCGGGGCUGUGGCACCACUGUGUCGGGCACCUGUGGGUACAGGCUCAGCUGUGCACUCAGGCGCAGGCUCUUGGUCUCAGGCAGGGAGCUUUGCUGCCGUGCCUGCUGCUUGCAGAAGAAGUUGAGCGCAUCGAUUGUCUCCAGGUCCAGCAUGUGCACCUGUGACCACCGUGUCUGCUCCAGUGGCAGUGGCUCAUUGGGCAGUGUGGCCAGUGCCAAGGAGUGCAAGUGGACCCCAGGCAAGGAGAAGUGUGGCAGUAUCUCAGAGAUCCUGCGUCUCGUCGGACAAACACGUAGCUGUGAGAGCAUCUGCUGAGCCUGGCCCUCUGGGGUGGCCAAGUUUGGCUCCCCAGGCGAGACCACCAGUGAGGACAUCCGGGAUUGAACAGAGGGUGUCACAGAGAUGUGAAUGGGCAUCCCAGAGACCAUCGAAAUCUGUGAUAGGCCCUCCUUGGGAGGAGAGGGAAGUGCUGAGGUCUCAGAGAUCUUGGAUGGCAUCUCAGACAGCUGCAGGAUUUCCAUCUGUGGAGGAGGUGGCAAGUCCAGAACAUACCCCAGCCCAAGGCAGAGGCUGCCCCUCCCCCAACAAGUAGGUCCAAGUGGUGCUGCCUCUGGUUCCAAGCCUGAGACCCCGCUGCAGGCUCCCUCCCUGGGAAGAGCAUGAAGAUCCCAAGAGAGGGGGAUCAUGGAGGACAAAUGAUGCACAGAGCUGGAACGAGGCAAGGAGCCUGUCAGCCUCACCAGGCUCUCCCCGCUGGACUUGGGGAAAGCCUUGGGAGAAGGCAAGAGGCACCACUGGCAGGCGGCCCGCCCCACCCCUGCCAGCCCAGACCUGUAGCUGCUGGAUCAUUUCCUCCAGCUUCUGGCAGCAGCAUUUGCGCAGUGUGGCCUUGGAGUCGAGGUCCUGGCUGUGGACCCAGGUCAUCAUGUCCUUAAACAGGAAGCCCUGUGGGUCCUGGAGGCCUAGCGCAUCCAGCAGCUUCUUGAGCUCAGGCCUGGGACAGGUGUGGGUGGAUUAUCUGGCAGCCUCCCCCAGCUGGCAAGAAGGUGGGGUAGAGAGUGGGACUCACUGGCAGGAGGCUGGUGAGUAGAGGAAGAAGGACAUGAGUUCCAGCACCGCCUCGCGGGACUCCAUGGAGCAGGCCAUGAGCACCUGCAGUGCCAGCAUCACAAAGUGCUUCUGUGUCCUGUCCUGAGCGCAGAGGAGGGGAGCCUGAUGGGUGCUGAAAGCCCUGGGUGGGGCUGGCGGGGCGGGACUAGGGGCACACCUCGAAGCUGGGGGGCUGGUCCAGGUUGAGCAAGCGCAGGAGGAUGCCCUGCAGCCGGCUACAGAGGUCUUUGCUCAUAUCAGGCAGCAGCCUCAGCAGUGCCUGCAGGAUGUACACACGGUCCGCCCAGGAGGCCUCUUUCAGCAGGACUCAACCCCCAGCCCUGGAGCAGGGACGUCUAUAAGAAGCAUGGGGUGGUGGGUAGGAGCUUGGAGAGGGAGCUGUCGAGGGCUUGGGUAGACGCUGCAGCAGCUAGAAGGAUCAGUGACCCACCUGAGCAGGUAAGAAUGCCAGAUAGGUGGUCGGGGAGGGGCCGAGGCCUGUCUGGGCAUCUGAGGUGGGAGAAUAUGGGGAGCUGGUGGGAUUGCAAGGGGUCAGCUCCCGUUGAAUUUGCUCCCCUGAAGAAGGGGACUCUGGUCUCCCAGAUAAAGUCCACAGGAGACUCGCCCCCCCAGCACUUUCACUGAAGGGGGUAAUACAGGCCCAACCAGCUGGCAGAGGCUCUGUCUCCCUACCCCUCCACCCCCCAGUCUGUGCUUCCCAGGCCUCCGAGACUCCGAGACUUGCCCAGUGUUGGCUCUGAGAGUCCCUGGCCCCAUGGCAGCCGGCUCCCAGGGCGCAAGGAGUCAGGGCCCACAGAAGAAGCAGCAUGGAAACUGGGCCAGGUGGGGUGGAGGAGGGCUGCAGGUGAGCAUGGCCCUCAGGUCAGAUUUGGACACAAAGGUUUGCAGCAGAAGGAAGAUGGGGAGCACAAGAAGGGUGCCCCCUGAGGGAGGUGCCUCUAAGGAGAGCAAGGGGGUCUCACCUUGUAGGACUGAAUGGUGGCAGGAAAGAAGCCCCCAAGGUUGGAGAGAAGCUCCCUGGGCCGCCUCUUCUGAAGCAGGGGGAUCUGAGGACAGGACAGAGGCUCAGAGCUGAGCAUGGACCCCAGUGUCCCUGCAGCUCUGCCCUUGGGUGGGCAGCACCCCACCUGCCUUGGCCCCUCACCUUGUUCUGCAGGUGGGAGGAGGAUGGGUCCAAGGCCAUAGGCUUCUCCGGGUGGAACUGCUCUGACUGCAGUUGCCGGUCCAGACUGAGGCCCAGCUCACAGCUCAGGGAGGAGCGGGCCAGCAGCUGGGGCAUGGGAGGAGGAGUCAUAGUAUGAGGGACAGAGGGCACAAGGUGAGGGUGAGGGGUGGGAGGCCUCACCUGGGAUGCCAUGCUGUGCACCCUCCGGAGGAUGGGUGGUAUGGGCAAGGUGAUUCGGGGAGGGCGUGCAAAGCCCCGGCCCAGGGCCCCUAGGCCCUGUGGGGGCAAGGCUGUUGGGGUGUCAGUGCAGACCCCAGCCUGCCCAAGACUGGGGACAACUCUGGGCAGGGUGCACACAUCGCAGGUCUCUCUCUCCAUUGCAAGGGUCACGAUGCUGCACUCUUGGGACUCUCUUUCAGAAUGAAUGCCCUGGGAGGGGUGGAAGGACAGAGAGGCAGUGUCAGAGGCCCAGGGUGAAG